GGGGGCAUAGCUCAGUGGUAGAGUGCAUGCUUAGCAAGCACAAGGUCCCAGGUUCAAUCCCUAGUACCUUCA
rnacentral:tRNA from 1 species